UGGGAUGUUAACACUUCAAAACUUACAGGGAAAAUUAAUAUGGCUAGCAGCAAACUUGGUGUUGUGGUUCUUCUCCUGGUACUGUGUGGUGUAACUCUGCUGGGAGUAUUCAAUCCGAAGAAUGUGAGUGCGAGUCCUGUUUGCCCAGAGAGUUGCUUGUGCGUACAGUACAUGACUUGUGGCUCUUCAGACCAGAAGCUUUAUAAUGGCUGCAACUGCUGCUUAGCACCAAAGGGCUGCACUCUUCACCUCUGCAGCAAUACUACACUUCUCUGUGAUGGGAAUUGAAGGCCGGUUAUAUAUAUAUAUAUCCCCCCUUGUGUUUUAUUAUAGUCUUUUUGCAAAUAAUGGGACGUUUGUUUUGCAACAGACAUCAAAACUAAUCAUAUAUAAUGUUAUUAAAAAUAAAACUAAAGAGACUUAAUUGUCUUUCUAUUAAUGUUAUGUGCAAUUGAGCUACCUCUUGAGAAUAAAUCCGUUAUUUAUAUAUA